rnacentral:rRNA from 1 species
AUGUGUUUGUGGGAUAAUGAUCUCUGGCUUAUGCGGUGCCCACUGAUAUGCAACUGGGCUGUUGAGUUUUAUUUGCCACAUCACGUGUGUCGUCAGUUUGGUCUAUUCCAGCCUCACCCGCCGGAUUGGGUGGACACGGACAAAGCACUUCAUAGGUUGGACAGGAGAAGGCAGCGGAAGAUAAAGGACUGGGACAAGCAUCAUGCUCCAUAUGUUACCCGCUUCCAGCUUUGUGUGGAGCAGGCUCGUAGCACUGCACACGCCCCACUUCGUGAGCAUAACCCACUUGCUUUUGAUAACUACGUACGAUGGUUUAUUGAAACUACUCAAGUUGAGAUAUGCCCGCCGGCAUAUAAUGAGGAUAUUCUUGAAGAACCCAUAAACUUUGAGGAUCUAGCAAAGGGGAAGUACAACAGAGAUGUCAGGGAAGGGCAAGGAGUCCCUGCUGUUCCAGUGAUUAACUAUGUGCGCACCGAGAUCAAGAAAGCAGCUAAUGAGAGCCAGUCUAUUCUGGAGAAGACACCGGUUGGAAACGGCAAUGAUGAUGAUUCAUUACGAGCAUUCCUCAAGCGUCAGGCCAAGAAGUUAAGGCGGUUAUCGAAUCUUCUCGGUUGCCGUGAUCCUGAAUAUGAUGAACCAUCUUCCUCUAGGUCUGGUACAACAUCAGACCCCUCAUCUCACCAUCAAGGGGACGAUGUGAGUUCCGCAUAUGCUUAUCUGGAUGAUGAGGGUGCGGUCACCCAAGAGGGCCAUGAGCUUUAUGAUGACAUGACUUCGGCGGACGCUCAAGCUCGGUCGACAUAUGUGUUCAAGCCUAGUAAUGCAGCCCAGACGCUGGUACACGCCGAACGACUAUGA